GCUGGGUAAAUACAGAGGACCCAUGAGAGGACACCACAAUGCCCUUGAGAGUGUUAGGGAGAGAUAGAAAGCCAUCCUGGGCUGAUGAAAGCUUUUUGAGUAAAGGAGGACAUUGCACAAGGACAUGCUUUUCCAGGAAGUUCAAGUCCACUUGGCGUUGUAGUGGAAAGUCAAUAUAGAGAGACCAGGUUGGUGGAAAGUCUUGGGUGCCAAGCUAAGUGGAAAAGACUUGAGUUCUUGAAGAUAAAUCAACUAAGUUCAAUAGUCUAAAUUUUGGCCACAGAAAACCUAUAGCAAUUAAACAUAUAAAGCAAGUAAUUUGAUUCUACUUUAUUGUAGAGUACGUGAAAAAUGUAUGGUGUCUUAUCUCAAAUCAUUACUCAAUGUCAGGGCAGAAGUACAAUUGAUCAAGCCUAUAGUCAGCUGCUAAUUCUGACUUCCUAGCUUUCCAGACUGGGCAAAAUGAUAUCUGCAGACAUUAAAGAAUACUGGAAUUAAAAACACAUUAAUUUUCCAUCCAUUAGGGUGAUGUGUGCCCCACAGGUGGACUAUAAGGAAUUCCCUGGCUUGGUGCCUGAUUGCUUUGCAUAGCUGGGGAUUCCACUUAACACCCUGCCAUGACCCUCUGCUGGUAGGCUUGGCCGCCUUAAUCUUGGUAUAUUUCAUGUUGAAUGGCCGUGGCAGUCCAAGGUGCUCCAUAGGAAAUAUAAUAUGUGCUCUGUAGAAAGCUAUGUCAGUUUUACUGGUACUGAGUGGCUUCAAAUUCAAACCUAGCUGUUGUAAAAACAACAACUAACAGACAACUGUGAUUUUAAUUGAACAUGCUAAUAUCAUGGCUAUUUUGAAACAAUGGUCGUUUCUUAAGGUAAUGUGAGUAGUUUCAAAGCAUAAAUAGUAUGGCAUGUAAUUUGUAUGCAAAUAUAUAACUGAUAGCAUGUAUCUUUACAAAAUUAAAAUAUUUAAGAAGAACCUUUAUUUAUGUCCAUUGAAAUUUCAUUGAGAAAAUAGAUCAUGAUGCUUUAAAAUAAUUAUCUAUCUAUAGCACAAAGAAAAUAUAAAAUUUCAUAUGGUGAUGCUAAUAAAAUCUGGUUCUUCAAUCCUCACCAAACUUGUUUCCUUAAGGCAAAAUGAAGCUUCUGCUUGCAAUGUUCUGCUUAACUUACAUUAGAAAAAUCCUGAGCAUUGUUUAUGAUGCAGUGAAGUCCAUUAAGAGCAGCAGGAAUCACACACAAGAAAAGCCAGAAUCAAGGUUGAUCUCAGAGGCCAGGCAGUCCUCACCUGAGUUGGGCACCAGCCACAUGGCAACUGACAAGUGGUGUUGCAACAUUCUAUGCAAUGGAUCUGCUGUGGUGAAGAAUGCAUUUUCCUUGUGGAAGUCACGUGACCAGUAUGCAUUGACAGAAUCGCUCCCUCAGGAAUGUGCAAGAGAAGAUCACGUGCCCAACCAACAAACACCAGCCUUGCUGGAUGUUUUGAUGUUUAA
rnacentral:lncRNA from 1 species